UGGGGAAUAUUGCACAAUGGGCGAAAGCCUGAUGCAGCAACGCCGCGUGAGCGAUGAAGGCCUUAGGGUCGUAAAGCUCUGUCCUCAAGGAAGAUAAUGACGGUACUUGAGGAGGAAGCUCCGGCUAACUACAUACAAGCAGCCGCGGUAAUACGUAGGGGGCUAGCGUUAUCCGGAAUUACUGGGCGUAAAUGGUGCGUAGGUGGUUUCUUAAGUCAGAGGUGAAAGGCUACGGCUCAACCGUAGUAAGCCUUUGAAACUGGGAAACUUGAGUGCAGGAGAUGAGAUGGGAAUUCCUAGUGUAUCGGUGAAAUGAGUAGAUAUUAGGAGGAACACCAGUUGCGAAGGCGGCUCUCUGGACUGUAAGGGACACUGAGGCACUAAAGCGUGGGGAGCAAACA
rnacentral:rRNA from 1 species